GACGAACGCUGGCGGCGUGCUUAACACAUGCAAGUCGAACGGAAAGGCCCUGCUGUUGUGGGGUGCUCGAGUGGCGAACGGGUGAGUAACACGUGAGUAACCUGCCCUCGACUUUGGGAUAACUUCAGGAAACUGGGGCUAAUACGGGAUAGGAGCUCCUGCUGCAUGGGGGGGGCUGUAAAGUUUCGGCUGUUGGGGAUGGACUCGCGGCUUAUCGGCGUGUUGGUGGGGUAGUGGAUGACCAAGGCUUUGCCAUGUAGCCGGGCUGAGAGGGGGACCGGACACGUUGGGGCUGGGAUGAGGCACAGCCUCAUCCGCGACGCAGCGGAGGAGAAUAUUGCAUUAUGGGAGGAGGGCAGAUGUAGCACAGCCGCGUGGGGGAAGACGGGAUUGGGGUUGUAAUGCGAUGUUGUCUGUGACGAAGCGAGAGUGACGGUAAUGGGUAAAGAAGCACCGGCUAACUACGUG
rnacentral:rRNA from 1 species